rnacentral:rRNA from 1 species
UACGAAGGGGGCUAGCGUUGCUCGGAAUCACUGGGCGUAAAGGGUGCGUAGGCGGGUCUUUUAAGUCAGGGGUGAAAUCCUGGAGCUCAACUCCAGAACUGCCUUUGAUACUGAAGAUCUUGAGUUCGGGAGAGGUGAGUGGAACUGCGAGUGUAGAGGUGAAAAUUUCGUAGAUAUUCGCAAGAACACCAGUGGCGAAGGCGGCUCACUGGAUCUCUUCUGACGCUGAGGCACGAAAAGCUAGGGUAG